CGAUGCCGUUCGCGCUUCCUCAGCCCGAACGGCAUCGAAGUAACGACUGGCUCAAACAACUUUCUUAUCCAAAAUUCACG
rnacentral:ncRNA from 1 species